CCGAGUGAGGGCCUCUGGGCCCAACCUCCAACCCCUUGUUGACCAACACCUGUUGCCUCGGGGGCGACCCGGACGCCGACGCGUCGGCUGUCGGCCCCGACGGACCAUUUCAACUCUGUAUCUGUACGUCGGAGUGAUGAGUGAAUCAAUCA
rnacentral:misc_RNA from 1 species